AGAGUUUGAUCAUGGCUCAGAUUGAACGCUGGCGGCAUGCCUUACACAUGCAAGUCGAACGGUAACAGGUCUUCGGAUGCUGACGAGUGGCGAACGGGUGAGUAAUACAUCGGAACGUGCCCGAUCGUGGGGGAUAACGAGGCGAAAGCUUUGCUAAUACCGCAUACGAUCUACGGAUGAAAGCAGGGGAUCAGUAAUGACCUUGCGCGGACGGAGCGGCCGAUGGCAGAUUAGGUAGUUGGUGGGGUAAAAGCUUACCAAGCCUGCGAUCUGUAGCUGGUCUGAGAGGAUGAUCAGCCACACUGGGACUGAGACACGGCCCAGACUCCUACGGGAGGCAGCAGUGGGGAAUUUUGGACAAUGGGGGAAACCCUGAUCCAGCCAUGCCGCGUGCAGGAUGAAGGCCUUCGGGUUGUAAACUGCUUUUGUACGGAACGAAAAGGUUCAUUCUAAUAAAGUGAGCCCAUGACGGUACCGUAAGAAUAAGCACCGGCUAACUACGUGCCAGCAGCCGCGGUAAUACGUAGGGUGCAAGCGUUAAUCGGAAUUACUGGGCGUAAAGCGUGCGCAGGCGGUUAUGUAAGACAGAUGUGAAAUCCCCGGGCUCAACCUGGGAACUGCAUUUGUGACUGCAUAGCUUGAGUGCGGCAGAGGGGGAUGGAAUUCCGCGUGUAGCAGUGAAAUGCGUAGAUAUGCGGAGGAACACCGAUGGCGAAGGCA
rnacentral:rRNA from 1 species